GAAAAAUUAGUUAAAUAAUAAUAUUAAUUUGUCAAAUUAAAGUUACUUAAGUAUUUUUCG
rnacentral:tRNA from 1 species